rnacentral:rRNA from 1 species
AGGACGAACGCUGGCGGCGUGCUUAACACAUGCAAGUCGAGCGACGCUCCUCCUUCGGGAGGAUGACGGAGCGGCGAACGGGUGAGUAACACGUGGGCAACCUGCCCCUAGCUCUGGGAUAACCCCGGGAAAUCGGGACUAAUACCGGAUAUGAAGUCGGACGGCAUCGUCUGACUUGGAAAGUUUUUCGGCUAGGGAUGGGCCCGCGGCCUAUCAGCUUGUUGGUGGGGUAAUGGCCUACCAAGGCGACGACGGGUAGCCGGCCUGAGAGGGCGACCGGCCACACUGGGACUGAGACACGGCCCAGACUCCUACGGGAGGCAGCAGUGGGGAAUAUUGCACAAUGGGCGAAAGCCUGAUGCAGCGACGCCGCGUGAGGGAUGACUGCCUUCGGGUUGUAAACCUCUUUCAGCAGGGACGAAGCGAAAGUGACGGUACCUGCAGAAGAGCACCGGCCAACUACGCGCCAGCAGCCGCGGUAA